AUUGAACGCUGGCGGCAUGCCUUACACAUGCAAGUCGAACGGUAACAGGCCUUCGGGUGCCGACGAGUGGCGAACGGGUGAGUAAUGUAUCGGAACGUACCUUUCAGUGGGGGAUAACGUAGCGAAAGUUACGCUAAUACCGCAUAUUCUGUGAGCAGGAAAGCAGGGGAUCGCAAGACCUUGCGCUGAUUGAGCGGCCGAUAUCAGAUUAGCUAGUUGGUGAGGUAAAGGCUCACCAAGGCGACGAUCUGUAGCGGGUCUGAGAGGAUGAUCCGCCACACUGGAACUUAGACACGGUCCAGACGCCUACGGGAGGCAGCAGUGGGGAAUUUUGGACAAUGGGGGCAACCCUGAUCCAGCCAUGCCGCGUGAGUGAAGAAGGCCUUCGGGUUGUAAAGCUCUUUCGGCCGGGAAGAAAUCGUAUCAGCUAAUACCUGGUGCGGAUGACGGUACCGGCACAAGAAGCACCGGCUAACUACGUGCCAGCCGCCGCCGUAAUAC
rnacentral:rRNA from 1 species